rnacentral:lncRNA from 1 species
UUCAAGAACAUUAACGACACAAACUCACCUUGUAACAAUUUUCGAAAAGUCUCCCAAUUUGUAUUGAUCGUCUAUAGUAUUCUUAAACACUAUAAAAUUGAUCAGCAUCUCUCUAAUCUCAAUUUGGAGUUGAAUGAAUCGAGAUUUGGAAGACUGACAUUCUGGUACUUAAUUGUUCAUCGCCAAUCCAUCUCUCGUCUUUUCACCACCACCACCUCAACCGCCACUACCAUCUCCUCUUUGUUUUUCGUUUUUCUCAUGUAACAACAGAGGAACAAGUAGAGCCGCGACUGCAAUCAGAGCAUUGAUCCACGAUUGGUGGCAAAUGGAUCUGGAGCAACAAGGGCACAAUCCUGGAAUAAAUAAAUCCACAUAAACCUGAAUUAAUGUUAGCAUAAGAGCUUUCAAGAAAUCUUUGGGGCACACUAGUCUGAGGUACCUACCCUUCAUGUUGAUUAUUCAAGACCUCGAACGCGAUCAAGGUUUGCUGAUUGAAAGCUGAAAUUUAACUUGAUAGAUCGUGAGAGAGAGA